CACGUAGGGUGCGAGCGUUGUCCGGAAUUAUUGGGCGUAAAGAGCUCGUAGGCGGUGUGUCGCGUCGGCCGUGAAAACCUGCAGCUUAACUGUGGGCUUGCGGUCGAUACGGGCAUCACUGGAGUUCGGCAGGGGAGACUGGAAUUCCUGGUGUAGCGGUGAAAUGCGCAGAUAUCAGGAGGAACACCGGUGGCGAAGGCGGAUCUCUGGGCCAUUACCGACGCUGAGGAGCGAAAGCGUGGGGAGCGAACAGG
rnacentral:rRNA from 1 species